AGAUUACACUCUCCAAUCACAUAUAUAAAUAAAAAAACAUAUUCUAAGUUCAUUCAUUUAAUGCAUGUACCUAGUUAAUUAAAUGAAUGAAUCUAAAACGUAUUUUUUUGCUUAUAUAUGUGAUCGGAGGGUGUAUGAAUCU
rnacentral:pre_miRNA from 1 species